UACGUAGGGGGCAAGCGUUGUCCGGAAUCAUUGGGCGUAAAGCGCGCGUAGGCGGCUCGCUCAGUCUGUUGUGAAAGUCCAAGGCUCAACCUUUGAAUGCCGAUGGAUACUGUCGAGCUAGAGUCCGGAAGAGGCGGGUGGAAUUCCUGGUGUAGCGGUGGAAUGCGUAGAUAUCAGGAGGAACACCAACGGCGAAGGCAGCCCGCUGGGACGGUACUGACGCUAAGGCGCGAAAGCGUGGGGAGCGAACAGG
rnacentral:rRNA from 1 species